rnacentral:lncRNA from 1 species
AAAAUAACGGCAGAUUUCACCCCCAUGAAUCCAACCUACACUGAUCAUAAAAAAGAAUUAUAAACAUGCGAUGAUCUCAACCUGGUCGAUGCUCUCUCUCCCCUUCUCUCUCUCUUCACCCUUCUCCUCAUGAAUUGCCCACCACCAGUCCCGUUGCCAUCCUCCGCCGCCACCCGCGUCCCUUCCCCCCGUGUCCUCCUCUCUUUUUCUUUCUCCUCCUCCCUCUCCCCUUUCACCCCCGCCGACAUCUGACCCGCGACACCUCUCGGCCGGCGUCCGCACCCCGCUGCCGAGUCCCUCUUCCACAUAACCUUCGACGUCUCCGACUCUGCCGGACCCUCUUUGCCUGCCCACAUCUGUGCGGGGCAGUACCCCAAGCCAUCCAGCUCCGGCCUUCCGGCGCCGAGAAGCAUCGUUCCUCUCGCCGUCGCCUCGGCCGUCGCUGCGGUUGAAAAAGGCGAGAGCGGCCCGUUCGAACGCCCGCGGAACUUCUCUGUGGGCUCUGGACAUGGGGCCGACUUUGGAUUCUAGAGGCCUAAUGCGAACUCCAAAAUGGAAGCCCUUACUUAAAACUGCUUAUAUAAUCGAAUACAAAGUCGAACCAAUUAACUUUUUAAAACAAAUACUAUUUCAAAAAAAUCUAUCAUCGUUACUUUACAAAUCACUCUUUAAAGCAUUAUCAUCGUGACUACUCUUACACAUCACUCCUCGGUUUAGCAGAAAGUACUAAUUUUUCCUCACAAUCACAUCCUCUGCCAUCACUUGAGCUUUCGCACUUCCAUGCUAUGUUUGGUUGGGAAGUUGGAAAGGAGAGGGGAAAGAGAUACUUAGGGAAAUGUGGUUUGGGGCUUGCUUUUGUUUAUUUAACGGUAAAGAAGAAGGAAGGAGAUAACCAAGAUCAGACUUUAUAAAUCAUGGAAAGGAGGGAAAGAGAUACUUAGGGAAGGGUGUUUUUAUUUGCUGAAUCUUUAGGUGACCUUUGCUUAAAAUGGGUCCAAAACUACACAUACAUAUACUAGGUACUAAUAUAAACGGGGCCCUAAAUUUUUGGGGCGUUUUGGGGGGCCUAAGACCCUGCGCCUCUGGGCCUUAGCCCAAAGCCCGGCUGGCUCUGGAACGGGGACGUUGUCGAGCUUUACUCAGGUUUGGUGAGAGGACUUCGAUGUCGAUCACAUUACCUCGCCGCCCGAGGAAUAUUCACGUUUUGUAAUCUCGCCGGGAUCUGGAAUUAGGUAAAACCUUAGAUGAAUCAAUUCAUUUUAAUUUAUUGUGAUUCUAAAUGAAUGAAUUGCGAUCAUCAUCAUCAAACAGUAAAUUUCCUUUCUACUGAAUUUUGUUUUCUCACUGCAUUUCCCCCCAAAUAGUAUCGUUGUGGUGCCUUUUAGUUCCCAUUGCGUUGAUUAGUAGAAAAACUAUGCUAAAACUCAGAAUCAGAAUUUGUUGACAGAUCAACUCUAUCAAGUGGCGAGAAUUUCUUCUUCUUUUAUGGAAAAUACGAAUUAUUUCUAUUUGAGUUUGCGUUGUCGUGAAUCGAAUGCGAAGUAAAAAAGCGAUGUUUGCUAGUAGCUGAUGUCCUGUCUGUGAUAUUUUACACAUUCCAAAGUGCUUGUACGGCUUAUUGCAAACCAAUUGUAUUACAGAAUUUAUUCAGUCCAAGAGAUUUAAUUCAUUGUAAACAAACCAUGAGACAAAAAACCGAUACCGAUGCCCCAGUUAUUUUACUUAUCCCUAGAGCUCAUACCGCUUGAUAUGGUGUCUAACAUGCUCUGGAAUUCCCGAUUCAUACUUAUACCAAAAGAUACUUCGUAGACAGUUCCCUCUGGUAUCUUUACAGUUGAUUGUGCGGAGAGAAGCAGUUUAGAGGCUUUCUAGUGACAAUCUCUCCUUUGGACGGAUAUCCUUGGUUUUAUGGCACACACCUUUAAUAUGUGCUAUAGUUCAGCACCGGUUCUAAAGCCAUUUGUUCUUUCUCAUUUUUAUCCUAAUUGGAGUUGUUGCCUUCCAUUCUUCCCCUUCUCUCUCAAGUAAAUAGUCAUGUUUUUUGUUUGUGGAUAAAAGUGGUAAUUCCAUAAUACCUCUUGGAUACUGAAUCAGUAGGAAGGAUUGGCCAAACCAAUCUUAAAUUGAACACCAUUUUACCGUCCUUGGAUCAAAAAAUUUUGACGUUAUGUCCUAAUUGAUUGCAAAUAGAGCACUUCCCUGUCUGGUGUGUGGUAUGCUCCUACGUGGGUAUUGGUGGGUCAGGACCACUCAAUAUCGCCACACAAAAUAUACAAAGUUAUAUGAGAUGAUAUGCUGCAAAACAAUCCACCAAAAUGAUACUAAUUGAGAUUGCUAAAAAUCUGCUGUGUAAUGGAUUAAAAGUCUACUAAGUAAUAAUCAAGAUAUCACAUAUGUUAUCUUGUCAAUGCCCUAAAAACUCGAUACUCUCACUCCCGUGCCACGAUCAUUAUAAUCGGCUCCCCCUAUUCUCAUUUUGUUGCUUACCUGUGAUCUCUCGCCAACGUGCGCUUUAGAUUAGAACCCCAAGCGAAGGCCCGGCGGAGUAGUAUAACUCGGGAGACAGGUCGAUUCCCAGGGAGGAGUUUGUGGUGAGCAAGACUGAAAGGAAAGAGUUUCCCUCUCAAUUACUCACAAAGGAUGAACAAAACUAUUUCUAAACAAAAUACAUCUGAUGUUUUUGGAAUUGUUUGAGCUCUCACUAUUUGACAAUACAAAUACAUAGCUGAUUGAAUGAAAUUGUUUAAAAAACAUUAAUGUGACCUUAUCUCCGCAUUCCAAGGUGAGAUGUGUUGACUCAAAUCUUUCGAUUCGUCGUGCGUCUCGGAUUCGUGAGAUUUAGCAAUAAAACCCUUGUUCUUAAAAACUAUCAUUUUGCUUCUAGAUUAGAUCUGGUUGUUAAAUUCAAAGAUGAAAUACCAUCGAUUCACGCAAUGCUUAUUAUACUAAGACUCGACUUUUGUCAAUAAGCGUUGUCCGAACAUAUCAUCAUUCAUGUUUUCAAUAUUUAUAGAAAAAUGAAGAUAAAGAAUGAUCAAAACUGAAUAUAUAACUUUUAAAAAACCCAAAUCCUUCAAAUCCUUUUUCAUCCAAGACUUCAAAACCAUUUCACAAUCCACCAAGAUUUAAAAGUUGCUACUCAUCUUUCAAAUUUAUGAAUUUUGAAAUAUUAAAUAUAAAUACAAAUUACAUAAAAAAAGAUAAAACUUACAACAUUUAGAUACUAUGAUAUAUAACCAAAUCUUAAAGAGAAGAGAAGUAACAAAUAGUAAAAACCUAAAGCAACUACUAAAUAAUAAAAGGCGAAUGAAUCAGAGUAACAACCAUAAUGCAGUGUAAACAAAUAAAAAAAAGAACUAACAGAAAUGAAUAAGCAAAUUUAACCACAACCAUAUAGACAAGAAAUAUAAGCAAGUAACUUAAGGAUAAAACCGUCCGGCGUGUGAUAAAUCGUCCACUGUGGUGGUUUCGAUAACGAUAAAUUAAAAGCAGUAAACCGUUCGGCGUGGCCGAUAGAAUCGUCACUAUGGUGGUUUCGAUAAGCGAUAAAUUAAGCGAUAAAAAUAUAAGCUAAUAUGUAUUAAAUAAUAAACUGUCAUGGGAUGACAAUAUAAUAAAAAUUUAUCGAAACUUUUGGAACUAAACAAUACUGAACUAAACUAUGAUAAGAGAAGAAAAAGCGCAGCUUUUUCAAAACUCAAAAUCUAUCUAAACUUUCUUUUCUCUCCCAAACAAUACCGCCCUAGAACUCACCACCGAACACCAUCCUCCUUCUAUAGGAAUAAGGAGAAAGAUAGGGAGAGAUACAUGUGGAGUAAAAAAAUUUUCAAAGCAGGAAUAGUUUUUUUUUUGUUUGAUUUUUUUUGCCAACUUUGUUGAUUUCUUUUGCCACUUUGUUUGAUUUUUUGGCCAAUUUUUUAUUAUCAUGAGACUUGGAAGAAUAAAUGGGAAGCCGUGUUCAGCAAUUUGGGGCAGUGAUCUCUCCCACCCCCGGUCAUUUUGCUUUUUUUUUUCUGUUCUUUUGGCUUUUAUUAGCGCAUGUUAACCUACAAAUGACACACAAAAUAGUAAUCAAACAAAUAUCUACUAAAAUACAAAAUUAAUGCUAUCAUUCUAACAAAAUACAAAUAAAGAUCUAUAAUUACACUUGUAGGGUUUUUUGGGGGGUUUAAUCACACCCCUCAACUUGCAUUUUGCUAGUCCUCGCAAAAAACUAUAAAAACUAGAAAGGAUAAUCUCACUUUCGUAGGAAGCACGAUGAAUUUAGCUUUUGCACAAGCCUUAAACCUCUAGUGGACGAGUAAGUGGUGUCUCGUAGAGGGUUUCCCAAUGAUGACACAAACAAAUAUAGACUCAUGUCAGGUAAAAAAAAAUAAUAUAGAUCCGAUGGUUGUGCAAUAACUCCAUUCAAAGAAAUCUCGAACCCCCUCUAACUCAUGAAUCAUGCAAGUUAGAGGCAUAAAAGCAUUGAAGAGAGGAAAUAACCAUUGUAGUACACUAUCAAAUGGACAUACCACUUACCAUCUCGACACAUUGCAAUUGUAUCCUUUAUGCUUGAUUUUAAGUCUCAAAGAAUACACUCAAUUAUAAAUAUGAACACUUAGGGAACUAAUGGAAAAGCUAUUUAAGAGUAAAUGCACGAGACAUGCAGUAGAGAAUCGAACUCAAAAACGAUAAAUGUAAGGUCUCGACUUGGCCAUACUUCAUGAAAGAAUAUUACGUGUUAAGACACAAUUUUAUAUGACUUGACAUUUUUUGGGAAUGACUUAUAGCCACUUGAAUUAAAGAUUCAUGUUGUAAUUGGAAUUGUGGACAUCUGGGGGAUGGUGAAUGAAAGAAGAGCCAUGUAAGAGGAUGAAAGCGGGUGGUAGGUGGUAGGUAAGGUGGUAAUAGGUUUCAACAUAUGCAUGCGCAUGGCACAUGAUGAUCAAUGGAACCUUCCACUUUCAAACUUCCAAUAUAAUUUUUAUUAUUAUUUAUUAUUUAUUUUUAUUUUUUUCAACUCCUUUUCAUUAUUUGUUCUUCUUUCUUGUACUUUUCAACUCAUACUCUUUUCAACUUCCUACUUUGUUAUAAGGCAAUUGCCAUCAACUCGGAAUUAGCAUUGACCAAAUUUUUAACACUUUGUAUACGAAUAUCGAGAAGAAAGAAAGAUAGAAAGAUAAACAAAGAAGGUCACUGUAAUGAAAUGGUUGUAUUUUAUAAUCCCGAAAAAUACACAAAUCAAAACUUUCAAAAGUAUAUAUAAGGGGUCAAUAAGUUCAACUAAUACUCAAACAUGUAAACCAAAACAGUAUGAUGAAGCUAUUUUCAAUGACGAAGAUCAAUCAAACUGCCCUCGGAUAAUGUUAAUACAUUGAAAAACGAUCAUUAGGCUCUAAACUCACAAGGACAAUCUCCACCUUAUAGGAUAGGCAAUGCACGACGAGAGAUACGUAAGGUCAUAUAGCAUCGAGUUGUAAAGAAAUUGUGACUCCUUUAUGAUGGAUUAUGACAAAAACUUGUAAUUUUUCACGACACAAAGGUGAAUCAAUUAUCCAUUCAAAUUUGUUUAAUGCUUGAGGCAAGUAUCUCAUCAAAGAAUUUCAAUGACAUGAACGAACGAUGGUUUCUUAAGAUAAUCUCUAACCACUUCUAAAUCCACAAUAAUAAACAUGAAACGUAAUAGAAAAGUGUGAGAAAUACAAUCCAUCGUAUCGACAUUAUGAUACAUCCAACCUUUACCGAAGGACUUCCAAGUGUGCACAGAUCGAUCAAUCAUUGAUUAAUACCUGAAAAAUUAUCAAUUAAACAUAAAGGUUUUGAUAAAUUCUCAAUCACGUGUUGUUUUUUAAAAAAAUUUUUUUUUUGUAUAUAUAUUUUUUUAUAUUUUUUAAUUUUUUUAAAAAAUUUUUUUUUUCUAAGAAACAAUUAAAGAAAAACACAAAUCCAACUGAAAUUACAAGUAUAAAAAAACAUAAAUCUACAAAAAAAAAAAAAUUAUAAGAAUGAUCUCGUAACAUGCUUUACCCACCCCAAUAAGAGGGGUGCAUUGUCCUCAAAGCAACAAUUCAAGGGGUGGAGACGGGGGAUAAACCUAAAGGGUUCAAACAUGAUGGGUUGAUAAUGAGAUCCACAACAAUCAACCUAGUGAAUGGAAAGACUCAAAUAGAGGCUUUAACCCCUUGCCCUUGACUUUGAAAAACAUGUCAUUUUAGGAUUUUGUACUCCAAUAAGCACCAUGGGAAAGAUUUCCGUGAUCUGAUUUGGGCCGGACCAUCUACUUCCCAUUUUCCGAAAAAAAAGAUUUUAUCGGAAUGUAGAGAAGAACCUUUGCCCACAUGAAAGUGGUACGGUGAAUUGAAUUUGUUGGUCAUGACGAAUUUUCAUUUUGGCCUUUGAAAUUUUGCAUGUUGUAAGCCAUCCUUUUUUAGUUCCUCAAGUCAAGUUUAUAUAUAUGGGUGGUAGGUGUUGGUUAUGGGUGUAUGAUUUGUGGCUUAUUAUUGUAGUGAUAAGAGUGUGGUUUGAGUGGGGGUUUGCCUGUGUGAUGUAGGGGUGUUUUGUUGGGGUUUUGUUUUGGGGGGGUUGUGAUGUUUGGAGUUUUAUUUGGGGAAGAGGAGGGAAGUUUGUGGUUUAAUAUGGUUUUGUAUUUUUUUUGGUUUUAUUUUUGGGGGGGAGGGGGGUGAGUGGUUGAGGGGGAGGGUGGUGGCUGUUGGGUGGGGGGGGGGGGUUUGGGGGGUGUGGGUUUGUUUUGUUGGGGGUUGGUGUGGUUGGUGUGGGGGGGUGUUUUGGUUGUUUUUUGGGGGGGUGGGUGUUUUUGUGGGGGGUUUGUGCUGUUGGGGGGUGGGGGUAUUUGUGGGGUGGGAGAUUGAGGUGUGUGUGGGAGUGGUGGGAGGGGGGUUGGUUGGGUGGGGUGUGGUUUGGGGGGGUGGUGGGUUUUGGGGUGGGGUGCUGUUUGCUGGUGGGGGGGUGUUGGGGGAGGUGUGGUGGGUAGGUGGGGGGGGGGGGUGGGCGUGUUGUUUGUGUUGGGGUUGGUGGAGUUUGGAUGUUAUAUUUAUUGAGAAUGGUUGUAAGUUGGAGGGAGGUGUCGUGUUGUUUUGGGGGGUUGUGCACGGUUGGGUGGUGAUGGCUUGGUGUGUUGUUUUGGUGGGGGCGGGGUGUGUGUGUUUGUGGGGGGGGGGUGUUGGUUGGCUGUUGGUGGGGUUGGGGGGGAGAGGGGGUGGGUGGGGGGGGGUGGGUGUGGGUUGGUUGGGGUGGAUGGGACCUGGGGGGGGGGGUGGGUGGGGGGGGGGGGGGGGGGGGAAGGGUGUGGGGGGUAGAGAGGGGGGGGGGGGGGGGGGGGGCGUCGGGUUUUGUGGGGAUGGUUUGGAUUUUUGGGGGGGGCGUUGUAUGUGGGGGGGGUGGUGUUUUUGUAUAGGGGGAGUGGGUUGGGUUGUUCGUUGCUUUUGGGGUUGGUUUGUUGUUUGGGCAGUGUUGGUGCUGGGGUUUUUUUUUGUUUUGGGGGGGGGGGUGUUGUUUUGGGGUGGAGUGGUGGGGGCGGGUGGGGGAUGUGAGGGUGUGUUGUGGGGGGGGGUGUGGGGUGGGGGGAGAAGGGAGGUGUUUGUUGGGGGGGGGGCGUGGGUGUGGUUGGCGGUUGGGGGGGGGGGUGGGGGGGUGGGUUGGAAGGGAGUAGGGGGGGAAAAAGGGAGUGAAAAUGGGGGGGGGAAAUGGGGAAGGGAGGGGGGGGGGGGGGAGAGAAGGGGAGGGGGAGAGUAGAAGAGGGGUAGGGAGAGGGGGAGGGGGGGGAGGAUUUUUUUUUUUUAUUUUUUAUUUUUUUCUUGCAAUUUUCGAAGAGAGCCUGCUUCAUAAGAUUAUCAUUGAUGGCGGAUGGCGGGGCCCAAUAAUCCUUGUGUUCUAUCCACCGGAAAGGGUGGACCGCUGUUCCGUAACACAAGCCGGAUAAGAGAAGAAGAAAGACCAAAGAUGGUCUAGAAGCUGUCCUAAAUACCCAUGAGCGUCUCUCACCAACCUCAAGGACCAAUCCUUUCGGUAGGCUUACCGUUUUUCUAAAAAUUGGCUUAAUCUUCCUCGGUUUGGCAAUCACUUGGCAUUGGGUCUGGGGGAUGAUAGGAUGUGCCACCUAGAACAAGUCAUAUUUUAUGCGUACUCCAUUGGCUUAUUCAAAAAUGGGAUUUCCACCAUCACGUAUGAUGGCUCGAGGCAUUUACACCAACCGAGCGAGAGAGCAGAAGAGGGAAAAUCCAUUCUUUAAGAAUUUUUGCCCACAACUGAUGGUCAUGGUCCGUGUAGGAUAACCUACACAAAUUUUGAAACCAGAAUCAACGGCCACCAAGAUGUAUAGAUAUCCAAAAGAACAGGAAAGGGUACAUGAAAGUUAAGCACCAACAAUCAAAAACAUGCUGUGUGUUUUCUUACCCUUUUAUCGUUUUUUUCUAUAAUUUCUUCUAUAGUUAAUUUUUUAUUAAUUUUUAAUUAAAAUGAGAGAAUAGGGUCAGGGGCAUCAUAUGUUCCUAGUAAGGCCUACCUAACCUUUGACAUCUAUCACAAGGUUAAAUUAAACAAAAAAAGAAUGCACAUCUUUGAACAUUGAGGGCCAAUACAGUCGCUUGCUCUGUAAAAUUUUUGUCACAGUUUUCUUGAUAAAAAAAUGGCCCCCACAGCUUUGAGAAUGACCAAUCUUAUGACACUUUUGAAACUUCAUCAUCAGGUACUAUCUCCUACAAUUGAUCUGGAACAAAUUUGAACAAAUACGCGUCCCAAAAGAAUUGUCUUACUAGCCGAACGAAUCGCCUUUUUGUCCAGUGAGGACCAAUUGGAGGGAUGCUUUUGUGGCAAAUAUUUGGCUUGGCUACAUCGGCAUUCCACGGUAUCAAGCUGAUCACCGCAGUACAAGACUAAUUUGUUCAUCAGGGAAACGUCUCACAGGGGGGGGGGGGGGAUAGCGAGAGUCAUUCAUCUUAAGAUGCUCAAAAGGAGGCGUGAUAAAGGAUCUGCAACAACGUUUUUUUCACUCCAUUUUUAUCUCUAAUUUCAGAUUUAAAUUCUUGAGAAGGAGAUCCAUCUAAUCAAUCUAGCUUUGCAUCUGUGAUUGGUCAAGACCGUACUUAAUGGAGCGUGGUCGGUGAAAAACUAUCACUCUCGACACCAAUAAGUAAGACGAAAUUGUCCAAAGCGAAGACGAUGGCUGCCAAUUCUUUCCGGUGGGGUAUAGUUCACUUGGAUUCAUUAUUCAAUGUUUUGCUGGUAAGGCGCACAUGAGGUUUUUUCUACAUUUCGGCAAGAACAGCCCCUAUGAGAAGUCAAGAGACUCACACAUAAUUUCAAAAGGUAGGGCUCCAAUCGGAGGUUGGAUUAUGGGCGCCGUAGUCAAGUGAGUUUUUCAAUUUGGCAAAACCUAGGUGACACGACGAAGUCCAUGCGAAUGGAGCGUCUUUGCCCAAGAGGGCAUACGAGGCCUAACAAUGGCCUAAAGAUUGAAUGAAACGCUUGUAAAAACCGGAUGCCCAGAAAUGACCCACUAACAUCCCUUCAUUCGAGGGGCAGGUAGCUUUUGGAUGAGCUCUACCUUAGCAGGAUCUACCUCAAUGCCUUCCCAGAAAGAAAUGAUGUGGGCCGAUAAACUAUACAAUGUGUCACCAUUGAUCUUGAAGUGACAUUUCUCCCAAUUCAAAAUAAGAUUGCUCCUUCAAUUCUUAAGUAUCAACCCAAAGAUUUUCAAGACAUGGUCAUAGGUGUCCCCAUUAACUGAAAAAUCAUCCAUAAAGACUACAAAAUUCGUUCCACCAUAGCACUAAAUGCUAAUAUGACAUCUCCUGAAAAAGUGGCGGGAGCAUUGCAUAAACCCAAAAAAGGCAUGAGCUUGUAAGCAAAUGUGCCGAAUGGACCGUGAUGUGGUCUUGGUCUUGGUCGUCCAUGGCUAUUUAAAUUGAUUAGAGCCAGAGUAGGAACCAUUAAGCAGCAAUAAUAAGCCCGUCCUGCGACUCUCUAAGACUUGGUCAAGGAAGGAAGGGGGAAAAAUGAU